GGCCUCAUAGCUCAGUGGUUCGAGCACUGGGCUUGUAAGCCAGGGGUCGUGAGUUCAAUUCUCACUGAGGCUU